GAUGAACGCUGGCGGCGUGCCUAAUACAUGCAAGUCGAGCGAACGGACGAGAAGCUUGCUUCUCUGAUGUUAGCGGCGGACGGGUGAGUAACACGUGGAUAACCUACCUAUAAGACUGGGAUAACUUCGGGAAACCGGAGCUAAUACCGGAUAAUAUUUUGAACCGCAUGGUUCAAAAGUGAAAGACGGUCUUGCUGUCACUUAUAGAUGGAUCCGCGCUGCAUUAGCUAGUUGGUAAGGUAACGGCUUACCAAGGCAACGAUGCAUAGCCGACCUGAGAGGGUGAUCGGCCACACUGGAACUGAGACACGGUCCAGACUCCUACGGGAGGCAGCAGUAGGGAAUCUUCCGCAAUGGGCGAAAGCCUGACGGAGCUACGCCGCGUGAGUGAUGAAGGUCUUCGGAUCGUAAAACUCUGUUAUUAGGGAAGAACAUAUGUGUAAGUAACUGUGCACAUCUUGACGGUACCUAAUCAGAAAGCCACGGCUAACUACGUG
rnacentral:rRNA from 1 species